ensembl:snoRNA SNORD16 Small nucleolar RNA SNORD16
UGCCAUGAUGGUGUAAUUUGCGUCUGAUCCUGUGAACGCUGACAGUUGCCUGCUGUCUCUAUGCUGUCAUAGGUAGUUGAUGUAUGCUAAGGUCUGAGCA